AACGAACGCUGGCGGCAGGCUUAACACAUGCAAGUCGAGCGCCCCGCAAGGGGAGCGGCAGACGGGUGAGUAACGCGUGGGAAUCUACCCAUCUCUACGGAAUAACGCAUGGAAACGUGUGCUAAUACCGUAUACGUCCUUCGGGAGAAAGAUUUAUCGGAGAUGGAUGAGCCCGCGUUGGAUUAGCUAGUUGGUGGGGUAAAGGCCUACCAAGGCGACGAUCCAUAGCUGGUCUGAGAGGAUGGUCAGCCACACUGGGACUGAGACACGGCCCAGACUCCUACGGGAGGCAGCAGUGGGGAAUAUUGGACAAUGGGCGCAAGCCUGAUCCAGCCAUGCCGCGUGAGUGAUGAAGGCCCUAGGGUUGUAAAGCUCUUUCACCGGUGAAGAUAAUGACGGUAACCGGAGAAUAAGCCCCGGCUAACUUCGUGCCAGCAGCCGCCGUAACAC
rnacentral:rRNA from 1 species